CGGUCAUGAAGAGUCUCCAUCCAGCUGGAUCACUGUCACAGAGAAGCACACCACAACUUUUCUCACUGUGCUGUUGUCUGUUGGAUCAGUCUGUGUUGUGGUUCUACUGGUGUUACUGGUUCUGCUGCUGAGAUGGCGUGCUCCUAGGAAACCUGAAGCUGAAAAUCCUGAAGAAGUCCAAGAAAACCAAGUCACCUACACUGAGGUCAUUUUAUCAAAUCGUCUGCAAAAACCAGUCAAAUCAGAAAGAGAGAACGAUCCAGCUGCACUCGAUACAACACAAGAUGUCACUGCUGGGCAGAGAAUAAAAGACUUUAAACCAGAGCCAGACGUCGUCUACUCUUCAGUGAAGUAGUCCACCAGUCCAACCACUGACGUCCAGCUGCUGGUCCCUAACUGGUCCGUUCCCUCUUCCUGUCGUUCUCACUGAAUUAGACCUGCAUGCUCACAAUGUAUUUUUAACUUGAGUUUUCAAAUUUUAUCCUCUACUAAUAUGAUUCAUGUCCUUGACUGUUCUUAUGUUUAAUUUAUUCAUGUUUGAUGGCGUUUGUUCUCAUGCUUAUCACACUCAUUUAGUUACUCUUCAGCAGUAAUAUUGUCAUGUGUUUUCUCAUGUGUGCGCUUGGAAAAGAUAUCAAAUGGAAAAUUUGACUUAUUUGUUUGUAGCUAACUGAUAUGUCCUUCUUUCAAUCAUUCAGUGGCUGAAAACAGAACAGCUUCAUUCCAGGAUGUGCAUGUUUGAGACUAAAGGGCUGGCAUUUUUAUAUCAUCCAAAAACCAAAGAGCAAAGGGAUUUGUGUCUCCUUCUGAGAUUGAACUGGGGAUGUAUUUGUUACACCAUUCUCUAACAGUUAGAGAAUGGUGUAAACCAGGGGUGGGGGAACUCCAGGCCUCGAGGGCCGGUGUCCUGCAGGUUUUAGAUGUGUCCCUGAUCCAACACAGCUGAU